GACGAACGCUGGCGGCGUGCUUAACACAUGCAAGUCGAACGGAAAGGCCCUUCGGGGUACUCGAGUGGCGAACGGGUGAGUAACACGUGGGUGAUCUGCCCUGCACUUUGGGAUAAGCCUGGGAAACUGGGUCUAAUACCGGAUAGGACCACGGCAUUCAUGUGCUGUGGUGGAAAGCUUUUGCGGUGUGGGAUGGGCCCGCGGCCUAUCAGCUUGUUGGUGGGGUAAUGGCCUACCAAGGCGACGACGGGUAGCCGGCCUGAGAGGGUGACCGGCCACACUAGGACUGAGAUGAGGCCCAGACUCCUCCGGGAGGCAGCGGUGGAGAAUAUUGCACAAUGGGCGCAAGCAUGAUGCAGCGACGCCGCGUGGGGGAUGACGGCCAUCGGGUUGUAAACCUCUUUCGCCAGGGACGAAGCGAAAGUGACGGUACCUGGAGAAGAAGGACCGGCCAACUACGUG
rnacentral:rRNA from 1 species